rfam:Schistosoma mattheei strain Denwood, Zambia genome assembly, scaffold: SMTD_scaffold0016567
CGAGUCCCAAACAGGACGAAACGCGCGUC